ACUAAGGUCCUGCUUAGAAUAUAUUAGAAUUGGAAUGCUAUAGAUAAGAUGGCCCCUGAAAGAAAAUAACAGGUAAAUUUGUGAAGUAUUCCAUAAUUUU
rnacentral:snRNA from 1 species